GCCCGGCUGAUGAAUCCCAGAUAGGACGAAACACGCGUCCUACAU
rnacentral:hammerhead_ribozyme from 1 species